rnacentral:rRNA from 1 species
CCUACGGGAGGCAGCAGUGAGGAAUAUUGGUCAAUGGACGAGAGUCUGAACCAGCCAAGUAGCGUGAAGGAUGACUGCCCUAUGGGUUGUAAACUUCUUUUAUAUGGGAAUAAAACAGGGUAUAUAUACUCUCUUGUAUGUACCAUAUGAAUAAGGAUCGGCUAACUCCGUGCCAGCAGCCGCGGUAAUACGGAGGAUCCGAGCGUUAUCCGGAUUUAUUGGGUUUAAAGGGAGCGUAGAUGGGUUCUUAAGUCAGUUGUGAAAGUUUGCGGCUCAACCGUAAAAUUGCAAUUGAUACUGGGUGCCUUGAGUGCAGUUGAGGUAGGCGGAAUUCGUGGUGUAGCGGUGAAAUGCUUAGAUAUCACGAAGAACUCCGAUUGCGAAGGCAGCUUACUGAACUGCCACUGACGUUGAUGCUCGAAAGUGUGGGUAUCAAACAGGAUUAGAUACCCGAGUAGUC